AGAGUUUGAUUCUGGCUCAGGAUGAACGCUAGCUACAGGCUUAACACAUGCAAGUCGAGGGGCAUCAGGGAGAAAGCUUGCUUUCUUGCUGGCGACCGGCGCACGGGUGAGUAACGCGUAUCCAACCUUCCCCCCAGUAGGGCAUAGCCCGGCGAAAGUCGGAUUAAUACCCUAUGUUCUUCGUAGAGGACAUCUGAAAUGAAGCAAAGAUUUAUCGCUGGGGGAUGGGGAUGCGUCCGAUUAGGUUGUUGGCGGGGUAACGGCCCACCAAGCCCGCGAUCGGUAGGGGUUCUGAGAGGAAGGUCCCCCACACUGGUACUGAGACACGGACCAGACUCCUACGGGAGGCAGCAGUGAGGAAUAUUGGUCAAUGGGCGAGAGCCUGAACCAGCCAAGUAGCGUGCAGGACGACGGCCCUAUGGGUUGUAAACUGCUUUUAUGCGGGGAUAAAGUGACGUACGUGUACGUUUUUGUAGGUACCGCAUGAAUAAGGACCGGCUAAUUCCGUGCCAGCAGCGGC
rnacentral:rRNA from 1 species